rnacentral:misc_RNA from 1 species
AACUAGUGUUGACAGCCCUGC